ACUGACUCUGUCACUGUGGAAAUACCAGACUGGCUCUUUAGGCGUGAAGAAGGUCAGCUGACCCAGACCUAACCCUGGGCCCUAAGGAAAUUUACCAAGGUUAUCAGCUAAACUCUGAGGCUGAAUCAAGUAUCUCUGAGUUCUCUGAACAAGUUGAAAGCGUACUAAUCAGGAUGACUGGUUUGAAUUUACAGUCGAUUUUAAAUCUAGCUGUUAAAGAACUGAAACCAUGAAUCCAUACGCCAAUGACGCAGGCAUAGUUGGAAAAGGCUACAAAACAGUACGUAAGCCAUAAAAGAAUAAAACGUCUAAACAUGUGUAUGUAUACACACCCCCAACACACACACACACACCGUAAAAAAACCCACACACACUGGGGAUAUCUUGCUGUGAUCAGAGAACAAAGUGGCAUGCAACCAAGACCUCAUAGGAAGAGGAGAAAAGGAUGAUACACAUUUAUUUCUAAAUCGAGGAUCCUAAAACUUUCCACUAUUGAUAUUCAAAGAGAAAAAUUAUAAGACCGUGUACAGCCAGCUAUCCUCCACUCUGCAUUGUUCUGUCUGAACCAGAUUCUGCCGAGUAUAUCAAGCUCUAUUGGCAAAUUUAUAAAGAUUGUAAUUACGGAAAAGAUUAAUGGAUGAUUUUCUGGAUGACUAUAUUCACCGACAUUUAGAUAUUUAGUGGAUUACUACCAGUUUGAUUCAGCUCUGUCACAUGCUUUGUUAGAUAACCAGUCAGCUCAAGAGCUCAAAGCUCAGGCUAGUAUAAUAUGACAAUUUUGUAAAAACAGAAGCAUAGAAAAAGACGUGUACAAAAUCAAUGCUUCAGGAAGUAUUUGAUAGUCAUUCUUC
rnacentral:lncRNA from 10 species